UUCAACGGAGAGUUUGAUCCUGGCUCAGGACGAACGCUGGCGGCGUGCUUUACACAUGCAAGUCGAACGGUGAAAAGGAGCUUGCUCCUUGGAUCAGUGGCGAACGGGUGAGUAACACGUGAGUAACCUGCCCCGGACUCUGGGAUAACAGUUGGAAACAGCUGCUAAUACCGGAUACGAGACGGAGAGGCAUCUCUACCGUCUGGAAAGUUUUUCGGUCCGGGAUGGACUCGCGGCCUAUCAGCUAGUUGGUGAGGUAAUGGCUCACCAAGGCGACGACGGGUAGCCGGCCUGAGAGGGCGACCGGCCACACUGGGACUGAGACACGGCCCAGACUCCUACGGGAGGCAGCAGUGGGGAAUAUUGCACAAUGG
rnacentral:rRNA from 1 species